rnacentral:lncRNA from 1 species
AGAAAUCGAGUGCCUUAUCUGCAAUCUUCUCCCUCUUCAAUCGAAAGACCUCAAAGGUCACCUCCAUUAGAUCUCCAAUUAAUAAGCAACCAAAUCCACUAAUCCCAAAACAAGGCAACCCUUCCACUGUCCAAAAUGUGAUAUUAGGAGGAUUUAUGAUGGGAAAUCAGCCGAUUAAUCCCACUCCACUCCUUCCCCAAAGUAGCAAAGCUAAGAAAUACAAAAAUGGAAAAAGAACAGACCCCCACCACCAUCUCCACCCACCCCUGCCACCAGACUACCAACCGGCCUCCUGGUUGGAGGUUGCCUUGUAGGGGCAAGGCCUCUUAUGCGACUUCACUAUCGACAACAAGACAAUCACAUUGAUAGUGAAAAACCCAGCUCAUAUGGCAAGAGCAAUAGUGUAAACUCUCAACAAAACUUUGACAGCAUUUGGCCCGCUUCUAUGGCAGUUGAUGGCCAACAGAGACAACCCUACUCCGAUCACUGAUCCACAAACCCUAAACAAUCAGAUACUCCAAAGUUUCCAUUCUAUCAUUGUCUUCCAAGAUCUGUUGAAGGAGGACCCAGCAGC